AGAGAUUAGAGACGGAGGACACUGAUUUUAGCUAGAAAACCAAGAGUUAAAAUAAGCAAAUGUGCGAUAUCAGGGAAGGCAGCUCCUUUCGGCCUCACGUCCACAGCGAAGUUCACACGGUCCAACCUUCCGUGUGACUGUGGGAAGACAACACGUUAGCUCCUUAUGGAGGGUUGGCUUGGGGAAACCAAUUCUGCAGAGAGGAAUAGAUUGUUCUGAAGCAAACUGGAUGUGCCUGGAUGGGACAUCCUCAAAGGAGGAGCCUAGAAACGUCUGUGGGCUCGACACUUCUGUGGAAAUGAUGUGGAAAGUUACAACUCUCCCUGAUGUUGGAUGCUCAGAGGAGAGACACUGAAGUUCCAUGCCUGGACUUCCUACCUGACUCUCCUGUAACCUUCCAGCGUCCCAAAAUGUCCUAGUGUGGACUGAUGAUAAUUAACACCGGGUUCCUAGGACAGUCAUGAGGGUUCCAGAAAUGGUAAUAUGGAAAUGAUUUUCAACCCCGCCCGGGGGAAUCAAGCACUUAACACAUUCUAUGUUUUGACUGCUUUCUUGUCAAACUCCAUUCCGGGUUGGAAACGUCCCCAGAGCAUGUGUGAGUCCUCCGCCUCCAUUUUUUCCCCCGAGGGCUUACUCCGGACAGUGGAAUGGAGUCCACACUUCCUUGUCUAUAAAUAGGUAGUUUCUUCUCUUUCGUUGGACUCCACCAAAGUCGAAGUUUCUGAGUGAAGUGUGGCUAUGUUUUAGACUCUUUGGAGGAUGCCGAUGUAUUCCCAGGAUCAACGAACAACAAUCCUGCCAGUGCUUCUAUUAUUUCAUUUAUCAACAUCUCUACCAAUGUCAUUAACUACUUCACGCAAGGCCCCGGGGCAAAAUUUAAAGAUACUUUCCCUGUCCGUUAGGAUCUUCGAACCUAGUUUCUUCACGACAAAAAAACGUGAUCCAUCAGUAAUGAAGAGAUUGAGUAUUUGGCAUUCAAGAUCCAGACUUUUCACAAAUGUAAAAAUAUUCCAGACGUAUUCUUUAUUGAUUUAAAAUGGAACCAGGACAUACAAGGAGUACAGAAUGAAUACGGAAUGAAGGAUAGAUGACUCUAUAGUAAAAUCUGGUUGCCAAACAUACCAGAAGAAAAUGGCUCUUUUGUGCGUUUUUUUUCUUUUAUUGUGAAAACUCGGUUUUAAAAUAUCAAUAUUUUAUGCUUUAAUUUUUGAUCUCUGACCAAGCUAUUUGUCAUUGUUGGAAUGGUGUUCUGCAGCCACUACUUAUAUGCUUUUUCAUUGUAAAAUGGGUCUUGGGUGAUCAUUCUUUUUCACUGAGUGCAUCUAUCUUUCUAGGUUAAGACUUUCGGGUUUUACUUCCCCAAAGGUUACAUCUAUAAUAAUUGUGUUACCCUACCUGACAGUGGCCAUUUCUCAAUUAUUCUAACUCAAGUAUUUGUGGUUUCCAGACUGAGUACACUUCUCAUUUCUUCCCAUACACAGAUGUUUGCUUAAUGAAUGCCUGUGGUUUGCUUCCUCUGCCCCAGAAAAUUAAGAGGCCAUAGAUCAGAGGAGAAAAAUGCUAAUUCAAAGGCUAGGCAUGGUUUGGUUAGUUGCAUUUGUCAGCCUGGUGAAAUGGUUUAGGUUUCUAUGAUUUGUUCAAGGGAUUUCUUGAGCCUACGCAGGUUUUGAUUCAUUAAGGUCACUUCAAGAAGCUUUGUGGCUUUACCUAGCUGCCAACCCAGGUAAGUUGUGCGUGUGUGUGUGUGUGCGCGCGCGCUCCCUGAGACCUUGAGCAUUGUUCCUUCUGAUUGUGAAUAAAGGUGUCGACCAACAUGUUCUCACAGAGGACAGUGUUCAGGUCUUGAAGAGACCUGUUGGGAUAAACACAUUCAAGAUAAUAGAGUUGGAGCAGGACAAAAGCAACGUCAUUGUGAAAAUGCCUUCAACCUGAAACAUUCUAAUGGAACUGUGCAUGAACAAUGGACACAAACUGCCUAAUGUUGUAUGUCAAGAUAGCAAUAACCCUUAAUGGCAAUUGUAAAAUGAAGCAUUAUGUUAGCCAGCAGAAAGGAAAAUGCAAAUUGAUUCUCUUUUUUGUUUAGAUGUAAGUGCUUAUCAAGGUUAGUAAGCAUUCAAGGUCUGUGACACCAGAAUAAUUUGUUUUAUCAUAAUACAUGGAAAAGGAGGGUGCUUGGGGCUUUCAGAGUAACUCAGAUGGCCAGACAGAGUUCUGCUCCGGGCUCUUAACAACCCCAUCUCCACGUAUCUCCUAAUCUAUUUGGUAGGGAAGGGUCUCAAAACCGAGAUGAUAGAAUGAAUAGUUAUAAUGGAUGAUAGCUAGUCAUACAUAUUUUGUUCCUUGGUGAGGUCAUUGAAUUGCAGCUUGCAUUUUGUCGUGAACUGUUUCACAGUUGCCUAUUAGGCAAAGGUUUUCCAAGUGCUUUAUCGGAGGCUCUUGGACAGUACAGGUCAUUCAUUCGUUGUUCACUCUUCCUGGUCACAGAGGCGCAUUGGACAGCAGAGAUUAAGCUAUACAUGAAUAGGUGUGGCCGGACUGAAAACCACAAGCAACCCAAUCCAAAGUCUAGAAGACCCUUUUGUACCGAUCUUGUCGCUACUCUGAGGUAACAGCUUCAUCUGGGGAUGCCGUCGUACAGUGACGCCUAUUGUUUGAUGAGGCGAUUUUUGGCAAUGGCUUCAUGCAUGUCUACCCAGAUGGUCGCUCAGGAAGAGGCAAGGAGGGAGGGCAGAAGGAAUCAUACUGAUGGGCAAACCUUUUCAUUUGCAAUACUGAGUCACAGUGAGAGGCUGCGGAAUGUCUUUCUCCAGUAUAGGUUAUCUCUAAUGACAGGGCUAAUUUGUGGAGAUCUUGGCCAUGGUCAGUAUCAGCUACUCAACAAUCCCUUUCGGCUGGUCAGUUGAUGCAAGAUGCAACCGAUCGUUCUUAAGCACAUUAAUGAAACACAUGCAGUUAGCUCCCUAUAAGUGGAACUGAACACAAAAACGGCUACAUUUCUCUAAUUCUUAAGUAGGAUUUUGGUAUUUGGAUCUUCUUGCCAGUAGGUUUCUGAGUGAUAUGAUCUUAAUGGAAACAUUGAGACUUUUAUUUGGUGGGUUGUUAACUGAUGGGAAUAACCAGUGAGUUACUACCCUGGGGAAUUUGAUGAGUCCAAUACCAAAAAUAUGUAAGACACAAUCACUUUCCUCAGGGAACUUUCAGCUGGAUGUUUGCUGAUCUCUCAUGCUAUUGCUCUGAAAAUAAACGGAACACUUUUUUUUCCUGCAGGAGUAGCUCAUUUUCUGUUAAGGAGAAAAAUCACCAAUGAGUUUUAUACCAAUUAAUACUAUAAUACUAAAAAUGAAACUGUAUUAAUGGUUUCUUUGGUUUGUAAUCAGCAGAAAAUAACUUGAGCUACCUUAUUGGGGGAAGAAAAAGAUACUCAUUGGGAGGACACUGAAAUCAUCAUGAAGACAUUGAAUCCAGUGGCCUCAGAAUGCUUGGAAACACAGCAGUGUUGAGGUCUUGAGAUCCCAAGUAGCUGUUGCUUUGGGACCUUUCCUCUGGAGUCCCAGAAUUACCUAACCCGGGUUCUCAGUCAUUCUCUGUUAAAGUGAAGAAGCUCACGUAAGGGAAAAGCCAACUGGCCAACUUGGGCCAGAGAGCUGACAAUGCUGUCACACAGGAGGAAUACAUUUCUCUUCCACCUUUGUAUCUUCCACUGGACCCACACCAACUGUUGGCACAAGAAAUGUUGCUUGAAAGAAGGGGUGAGGCAGAGUAAACGUGAAUGCACCCUCGAGACCUCCGGAACGUCCUUUUCUUCCUGUGGCUUCCCCGAGCUUUGUGGCUGUCCCCCGGACCUUCCCCUUGCAGCCUAUAGGUGGCAAUGAGACGUUUCUCUCUCAAGCUUUUCUUUACUUCAGGUCUGAUGGUAAUGACAGAUCAUUCAGAAGCAUGCUGUGUUUGGAAUGAAACCAACACGGCCAACAGUGUUCUAUAUUCUUCAGUCCCUAUCAAUCUUGACAAGAUUUUUAUAUGGGGAUUUUAUGACGAAAGGCUUCAUAGCCCAUCACACCUUCCCUCAGCCAGCCGAUCCCAGAGGAAUAUUUGUCUACAAUUGCAAAAAAAAAAAAAAAAAGGCAAGAAAACAUGCAGCACGUUGCCAUUCUCAACGUAAGCAGCCUCCGAUGUUCCCGCUAUUGACUGCACAGACUCACAGGCCUUUUGGGUGUAUGAUGUAUUGGUAACACAUACGUCUGAUAUACUUAGAUUUUUUCACGCACACAAAUUAUACCAGCAUAUGUAGGCAUGCAGCAACCUUUCCCGGAUAUACAGUGGUAGGUCACACACACAUACACGCACACCCACGGGAAGGAAAGAAAAGAAAAGGGAAAAAUAUGACCGUUUUCACUCCUUUGCGGAGAAGCAUUAAUUGUACGUCCGGAUUUGGGGUGUGGCGGUAGCAUUGGGAAUGAGGUGAGUUGAGGGCUUUUGUAAAUUAAAAAAAAAAAUCUUUCCUCUUUUCCACUGUGUCCAUUUUGCUAAAUCUGCUUACCAACAAUCGAGGCCAGUGUGCUAAUUUGCCUAGUAUGGAAUUGGAGAGGAUGUGGAUUGAUUUUCAACUUCUCUCCGAAUACAGGGGAAGGGCCAUCUGUCAGGAUUAACCGGGUGUGUAAAUCCCUUUUGACUCAUCUUCUCUGACAACAGGGUGGAAAAGUAACUGGUCAACCACAGUGUUCUCUCGCUCCGCCGUAAGAAAUAUACUUUCCCUCUGAGAAGUCCAUCAGUUAAUAUUAACAAGGAGAAAGAGAAAGAAUAACUUGGCAGGAAGCUCUGAAUUUCCCCCAGACGCGAGUCAAGAGAUCAUCAAGGAAGGAGUCUAGCUGUAAAGUAUACUUCUCUUCCUCUGAUGAGAGUGACAACCAGGGUGGCUGGAAUCAGAGGGCAGCCUGCUCUCCCUUGGGCAAACAAACACCCACUCUGGUAAGUGCCUUUUAAUGUGCAUCAAGUCUGUGUCUAGGAAAAGGAUGCGUAGUUGGCAACUACAGAGCUGUAAAGGGAUAGCUUUGACAUGCUGAUAAAGCUUCUCGGUUUACUUUGGACUUGACUUUAUCAUUUACUGAAGGAUAUUAUUAGUGUGGAGAUGAUAGCCACUCUCUCGAACUUCUCGACUUCUCGAACGAAAGCCAGUGAAAUGUACAUGAACAAAAGGUCUGUUAUGGAGAAUCCUACCCUGUUUGUUCAGUGACUCGGGGAUCCUAAUCGUACAACUUCAACAGAGAUAAGGCCCGGGAGCAGAGAAAAAGAGCCCACCCAGUUCGUGGCCCCCAGGAAGAUGAAUGAAAGUCAGCCGUGUUAAAAAUGGAAGCUCUUCCAACUCCGAGCAUGUGUGUUGUUUUCCCUUAUUGCAAAUUUGAUAUUAUAAAAAUAGAUUUGCUCUUUGGAGCCAGAUGGCAUGCAAUACUUCUGAAGUGAAAUUCAGCCUUAUGACAAUGGCCAUCGCCAGCAAGGAACCACUUGGGCUAUGAUGCCGAACCGUGUAGCUCUUUGUGAGUCCUUCCCAUCAACGAGCACUUCUGCACCUCUCUGGAGGCCAAGGUAUACACAAACCCCUUGAUGACGAUGUCACCACGGUUUGGGCGGAGUACCUUUUUUGUUUGUUUUGUGUUUGCAUUUCAUCUGCCUCAUUCUUGUUUGAAAAAAAUAAUAAUUAAGAACACAUAAACAGUAACCUUGGGACUGACCAAUUAGCUGGGUGCUUCACAACAUGGUUGUACUGCUCAUUUUCCAAUGGUUUCAUUGAUUGAUUGUUUGAUUGAUGUACCCAUUCAUUCAAAAAAGUCUACAAGUGCAUAUAAGCAACAUCGUAAGACCUGAAGUCAGAUGAUCCAUGUUGACCUAUCAAGACACAAUUUUUAAAAUCCCUGUCUACUUGGGAUUAUGUUUUUGUUUUUGCUCUGGCUUCUAUAGUUUGUAAUGGAGAUAAUCACAGUAAUUGUUCAUGAAAAUAUCUUUAUAAAAGUGACUUAUACAUUGCAAAGUACCAUGGAAAUACGUUUUAUUCUCAGAGGCCGUAACUGUAAGCGGAAUAUUGUCUAAGCUAAGUGAAUAAGCGUAUUUUAAGCAUCUACUCUAUGAUCAGAAAUGUGUGAGAAGUUUUAUAGAUAAAAAGACUAAUCUGACAGAUUCUGUAUUCAAGAAGUUUAAAGUCUAUGAGAAAAAAUAUUUUUAGUUAUGAAGAGAACACAUAUUUGAUCAUAAAGUUUUCUUCAAAUUUUCUGUAAGGUAGUUUAUUUGCCAGGCAAGACCAUCAACCGUGUGAUUCUCUAUGGCCCUUAUCGUGAUUUUGCAAGAAUUCACAUUUAGAGAUAAUACAAGUUAUUUUACAAUAUGCUCCUCUAAUCGUAAUAAAUUACUCAUUUUUAUUUCCUAA